ACUCCUACGGGAGGCAGCAGUGGGGAAUAUUGCACAAUGGGCGCAAGCCUGAUGCAGCCAUGCCGCGUGUAUGAAGAAGGCCUUCGGGUUGUAAAGUACUUUCAGCGGGGAGGAAGGUGUUGAGGUUAAUAACCUCAGCAAUUGACGUUACCCGCAGAAGAAGCACCGGCUAACUCCGUGCCAGCAGCCGCGGUAAU
rnacentral:rRNA from 1 species